rnacentral:tRNA from 1 species
GGCCUCGUAGCUCAGCUGGUAGAGCGUGCGCUGUACAAAAGCGUAUGUGGCCUCCAUGCCUGGAUUCGAAUCCCACCGAGGCUA